rnacentral:rRNA from 1 species
AUUGAACGCUGGCGGCAGGCCUAACACAUGCAAGUCGAACGGUAACAGGAAGACGCUUGCUUCUUUGCUGACGAGUGGCGGACGGGUGAGUAAUGUCUGGGAAACUGCCUGAUGGAGGGGGAAAACUACUGGAAACGGUAGCUAAUACCGCAUAACGUCGCAAGACCAAAGAGGGGGACCUUCGGGCCUCUUGCCAUCGGAUGUGCCCAGAUGGGAUUAGCUAGUAGGUGGGGUAACGGCUCACCUAGGCGACGAUCCCUAGCUGGUCUGAGAGGAUGACCAGCCACACUGGAACUGAGACACGGUCCAGACUCCUACGGGAGGCAGCAGUGGGGAAUAUUGCACAAUGGGCGCAAGCCUGAUGCAGCCAUGCCGCGUGUAUGAAGAAGGCCUUCGGGUUGUAAAGUACUUUCAGCGGGGAGGAAGGGAGUAAAGUUAAUACCUUUGCUCAUUGACGUUACCCGCAGAAGAAGCACCGGCUAACUCCGUG